rnacentral:rRNA from 1 species
UCGGUUGAUCCUGCCGGACCUGACUGCUAUCGGAUUGAUANUAAGCCNUGCGAGUCAUUGUAGUAAUNCAAGGCAGACGGCUCAGUAACGCGUAGUCAACCUACCCUAUGGACGGGGAUAACCUCGGGAAACUGAGAAUAAUACCCGAUAGAACAUUAUGCCUGGAAUGGUUUAUGUUUCAAAUAAUUUAUUGCCGUAGGAUGGGACUGCGGCCUAUCAGUUUGUUGGUGAGGUAAUGGCCCACCAAGACUAUUACAGGUACGGGCUCUGAGAGGAGUAGCCCGGAGAUGGGUACUGAGACACGGACCCAGGCCCUAUGGGGCGCAGCAGGCGAGAAAACUUUGCAAUGUGCGAAAGCACGACAAGGUUAAUCCGAGUGGUUUCUGCUAAAGGAACCUUUUGUCAGUCCUAGAAACACUGAUGAAUAAGGGGUGGGCAAGUUCUGGUGUCAGCCGCCGCGGUAAAACCAGCACCUCAAGUGGUCAGGAUGAUUAUUGGGCCUAAAGCAUCCGUAGCCUGCUUUGUAAGUUUUCGGUUAAAUCCAUACGCUCAACGUAUGGGCUGCCGGGAAUACUGCAAAGCUAGGGAGUGGGAGAGGUAGACGGUACUCGGUAGGAAGGGGUAAAAUCCUUUGAUCUAUUGAUGACCACCUGUGGCGAAGGCGGUCUACCAGAACACGUCCGACGGUGAGGGAUGAAAGCUGGGGGAGCAAACCGGAUUAGAUACCCGGGUAGUCCCAGCUGUAAACUAUGCAAACUCAGUGAUGCAUUGGCUUGAUGCCAAUGCAGUGCUGCAGGGAAGCCGUUAAGUUUGCCGCCUGGGAAGUACGUACGCAAGUAUGAAACUUAAAGGAAUUGGCGGG